UAUACUGGCAUGAACACGCAGACAUUAUCACAAAACACAAACUGGACAUAAAAAUUACAAAUUCACAAAACAAAACAACUGGCUUCUACUUCCUUUGUCGAUAUGCUGAGUCAUGCUGUAUAUCACACAGAUAAUCAUGGCAGGCACUUGUUCCCAUGCCAACUAUAUGCAAAUAUAUUUAUAUUAGAUGAAAAGAAAAAUUCCCAUCUGCAUAUUGCGUGUCCUGCUGUAAUAGGUUUGCUUGUCUCAAAGGGGAUGUUCAAGUAUAUAAAUAAAGUUCUUUCCAAAAGAAAAACACUGAGCAUGUUCAAAAGACGCAAGACACAUCACCUUUAAGAAAACAUCUCUGCAUUCAUCAUCCAUAACUGCUUAUCCAGUAGAGGGUUGCAGUGGUUGCUUGGAGCCAACCCAGGAAGCCCAGGACACAAGGCAGAGAUACACCCUGGAAAGGACGCCAGCCAGUUGCAGGGCCUAAUAAGACAACAGCACUAUGCUGUUUUAUUUUGCUGUUGCUUUGUGACAGAGAAAUGAACAUUUCACUAGAACUGGAAACAUACCAGUACUGCUAUCCAGCAGCUAAUGGGACGUGUGUUAAAAGUGGCUACUCUGGAUUUGCCAGGUUUGCCUUGUACAUGUUUUUUCUGUCAGGGAUGACCGUGACCAUCACGGGAAACCUGGUGAUCAUCAUCUCCAUCGCGCACUUCAAGCAGCUGCACACACCGACCAACAUGCUGGUGAUGUCACUGGCCCUGGCCGACCUGCUUCUGGGGGCCGUCGUGAUGCCCUUCAGCAUGAUCAGAUCGGUGGAGGGCUGCUGGUACUUUGGAGAUACUUUCUGCUCGUUGCACUCCACUUUCUACAUGUUCCUCACAUCCGUGUCAAUCUUUCAUCUGAUUUCCAUUGCGGUUGAUCGAUACCAGGCAGUUUGCAAUCCUCUGCGGUACCAUAACACAGUGACCAUUCCUGUGGCUUGGCUGAUGGUAGCGUUGAGUUGGGCUGCAGCUGCUUCUUACUCCUACAGUCUCCUUUAUUCUAAGGCUAAUGUGAUGGGCCUAGAUGAAUACAUCACUUCCAUUAAUUGCUUGGGGAGUUGCACUUUUCUGUUCAAUACGCUGUGGAGUACCCUAGACUCUCUGAUUGGAUUUUUCCUACCAUGUUCAGUAAUGAUUGGCCUUUACGUUAAAAUAUUUCUGGUAGCCAGACAACACAUCAGGCAGCUUGGAGGUACAAGUCAGCAGCCAUGUUUUACAGAGGGACAUGGCAACAGGAAAUCUCACAGCUCAGAGCGAAAGGCUGCAAAGACCCUUGGCAUUGUUGUAGGUGGCUUCAUACUCUGCUGGAUGCCUUUGUUUCUCAAUUCCACGCUCAACCCCUAUACCGACUUUGCAACUCCUCCUGUUCUUUAUGAAGGUUUUGUCUGGCUGGGUUAUUUUAAUUCCGCGUUAAAUCCUAUAAUCUACGGACUGUUUUAUCCGUGGUUUCAAAGGUCAUUGAAACUCAUUAUAUCUUUAAAGAUUUUUGCUGCACAUUCUUCAAAUACAAAAGUUUUCCGUGAAAGUUGAGUUUUCAUAGAUUCACCACAUAAUUCAGUUUCAUAUUACCAUAAAAACAUACAUCAUGUACUGAAUGUCCUGUAUUAAAAAAGCAGAAAUAGCUGUUUGAUUUUUUAUUUUUAUUUUUUUUGCAUUUUUAUUCUGGAUUUGUUUUUGAAAACUUUACACAAUAAGGUGAAGUGACUCUUAUCUCUCAAGCACUUUGAAAAAUAUUUGUUAAUCGAAUUCUGUGUUUUGCACCUUAACAAUAAUUUUAAAUUUUUCCUGCACUCUAAAGUGCACAGACUGUCACUUAGCUAAGAGCCACUAAGCUGAGCCUAAAUUAACAUAGAAAACAAAGCAAAUCACCAGCACUGAAGACAUCACACAAGAGGCCUACAGUCAUAAAAAGAGCAAACUAAUGGAUUAUUUAAUUUUUGAUUGCAGUAAACCGAGAAUUCCAAGUCAACAUUUAGUGUAAUUCAAGGGUUGGAAAGUUACACCCAUGAUGUCGUGGUUCCCUAUCAGUCCUUCACCUACAUCACCUGGCCCCUGUUUUUCUCAGUUUGUUUUUCAUAAGUCUCUUAAUAGAUGAAAACUACAGUCAGAUUUCAUGUUUUAUCUUCGCUAGGCCUUCAGACCUUCAGUACCACGAGCUUCUCUAACAGCUCAUCCCCCAUGAAGGAUGUACACAGAGAAACUCCCCACACUCAUUUCUGCCUCUCUGCACCUGGUCCUACCUUCCCUGCUCUCAGCACAUGCAAGAGGUCAGGCUGUAGCAUCACCUGCGCUCUGUGUAAUCUCUGUAUUGCCACCUUUGAUUGGGAGGCAGCUUGCUGCUAACUGGGCCCUUUGCUUCUGACGUUUACAUCACGCUUAGGUAAUACAGCAGCCCCCCCAGGACUGGAGUGGGGCCGUCUCAGCACAUUAAUCAAACAUUCAGUCUUUCUUCCUCUAAACAGUCACAGUAGGAAUCGUAGAGUGAAAGAUAAAACAUCCAUAGUAUUUGCUGACUUCUAAUGUUACCCAGUCUGAUCCUAUGAAAUGUACCUUAACCAUCUUCCUGGUGUUAUAAAAGGUAUGAAAUACAUUAAAACACAGAAAAUGAAGUAGCAAUGAAGUACUUCAGCGUAUCUUCAGGUUCUGUGGUUUUAUUCCGACUUCACACAUCAAAUCAGAAAUAUUACAGGCUAAACUGAACCUGGCAACCCGGCUUCUUGUUAAUAUGAUCUGGUAACAUGACAAAAAUAAGACUUUAUAUUUGACAUUUUUAUUAAGAAUACUGUGAUUACAGUGGUAUGAUUACUCUCCCAGUCAGGCCUCUGAUGGUACCGUAUGAUUGCAGUAGACUGGGCUUAAAAAUCAGGAAAAUACCCAGUAUGCCAGACGGCCUGUCCAGCUCUGCUCCCAGUCGUGGUCUCAGGUUCCGAACCCGCUAAGCUGCACUCUGCACUCGGAUAACUGGCAUCCCUGUAUUGCCAGCAGUGCAUGACUGUGUAUGUGCCCUGUAAUGAACUCACAUCCCGCCCAGAGUGUACCCCAGCCUUGUGCAUGCGCUGCCUGCGAUAGGCUCCAGGCCCCUGGUGACCCUGACCAGGAGUGUGGAAGAUAGAUUAAUGAUUAUUUAUCGCCCCCUACUGGCUACUGAGUAAUACUAUAUUGUCAAAACCUAAUUUUAAUAGUACAUGACUUUCAAGUAUGCUAACUU